rnacentral:ncRNA from 1 species
UUCCCGAGCCGGGAUGUGGCGGUUGACGGCGACGUUAGGAAGUCCGGAGACGCCGGCGGGGGCCUCGGGAAGAGUUAUCUUUUCUGCUUAACGGCCUGCCAACCCUGGAAACGGUUGCGCCGGAGGUAGGGUCCAGUGGCCGGAAGAGCACCGCACGUCGCGCGGUGUCCGGUGCGCCCCCGGCGGCCCAUGAAAAUCCGGAGGACCGAG